UGUCGCGGCAGCUGUACGCGGGAUACCUUCGGGUAUGCCGGUGUUCCUACGGGCCGGUCGGUCAACCCGCGUAUAGCUGCCACCCUC
rnacentral:antisense_RNA from 1 species